GACGAACCGUGCGAACGUUGUUCGGAAUCACUGGGCUUAAAGGGCGCGUAGGCGGGCGGCCGCGUCCGGGGUGAAAUCCUCCCGCUCAACGGGAGAACGGCCUCGGAUACGGGCGGCCUUGAGGGGGGUAGGGGCAUCUGGAACUGUGAGUGGAGCGGUGAAAUGCGUUGAUAUUCACAGGAACUCCGGUGGCGAAGGCGAGGUGCUGGACCCCAUCUGACGCUGAGGCGCGAAAGCCAGGGGAGCGAACAGG
rnacentral:rRNA from 1 species